AAGCCUGACUUCGUAUGUUCACCCUCCAAAUAAUCCACCAAGUAUCAAAAAUCAUUAAAUUAAAGUAAAGUAGAGUUAAUCAAUUUAAGAGCCUAGUAACCACAGAAGAUCCAACACGCGCAAACGGCGUUAAUUACCGUGCGAUGUGCGAUCCGAUGAUCUGGAGGCAUUGUUAGGAAGAUAGUUUGACUGGGGCGAUACUUCUACCAAUACCCAACGUAGGUGCCUCAAGGUGAGCUCAACCAGGACAGAAACCAAAAUUUCAUUUGAAUUUGCUUCUCAUUUAGUACGAAUACAGACUGUGAAAGUGAAAUUUUUCGAUCCUUUUGAUGAUCCGAUAUUCAGAGUAUGAAGCAAAAGGUGAGAAAAGUUACU
rnacentral:ncRNA from 1 species